rnacentral:rRNA from 1 species
CACUGUGGCCACACCGCCUUUGCUCUGCCCGAUCCCGUCAGAUCUCGGAAGCUAAGCAGGGACGGGCCUGGUUGGUACUUGGAUGGGAGACUGUUUGGGAACACCAGGAAGCCUGGGUGA